rnacentral:lncRNA from 1 species
UUCGCAUUUCCAUCGCAUUCGGACUUUCCGAAGCAUACCAAGUCGACGAUAAGUCGAUUUCAAAUAAAAUCUAACUCUCGAAUUGCGAGAAUUCACUUCCUUACAUCCUCCCCACCUUAAAAGAGUUUCGUCCUUGAAACGAACUUAAUUUAAUUCAAACUCAAUUCUAAAUCCAUACCUCAUUUCAAUCCUCAAACAAGUGAGGAUGAU